CACUGAAAUUGUACAUAAUUAUCCCAACCAUUUGCGCGUAUUGGUGCACUAAAGGUGCUCAGGAGGGAGCCCCGCUUCACACCAUCAGCUGUAAAUUUGUUCCACCAAAAGUUCAAUGUUAUUUUAGUAUUUCCAUGACCAAGGAACGGCGGAAUUGCUGACAGAGAGAUGUGUUGAUUGCCACUGGGAGCCGCCAAUAAUGCGCGACAAGGUGACG
rnacentral:lncRNA from 1 species